GUUCACUUCGGCAGCACAUAUACUAAAAUUGGAAUGAUACAAGGAAGGUCAGAAUGACUCCUGGGCUAGCAUGACAUGAAAAUUCAUGAAGUGUUCCCUAUCUUU
ensembl:snRNA U6 U6 spliceosomal RNA